UGUAUCUCUGACCUUUGACUUAAUGAGACUUAUUUUCUUGUAGACGUUCAUUCUUGACUUCUAGAGUUAGUCAAAAACCAAGGCUCGUGUGUAUUAAUUUGUACAUUCUAGGCCACUUUCCUUUAGCUGGUAGUACUUCUUUACGUAGUCCAUAUAGUCGUCAGGUACUAAUGUUACACAUAGUCCAGGAAAAAAAACGAAGUCAUCGACCGUGAAGACUAGAGAGAAAUCUUGAACCCGCUGAACUUUACCAAUACGUGAUGUCCUUGGGAACAACGAGCGGGAUUGGUACGAACGGUGACGAUCUUUAAAAAAGCUUGUUUACCAUUCGUUACUUUGUUUUACUCUUACUACUUCUCUAGUUUCUUCACUUUGUAGUUCGUUUGUUUUAACUGAAGAUGAGUAAAUAAACGGGUUUACAUUGAUUAGAUUUACAUUAUGGGUGAUUAGAAAAUACGAUAGAUAAAAAGUCUAGUGAGACUUGUCUUUAGUUGAUUUUAAAUACCCGUUGAAUCGUGAGUGACAUCUACUAUCACCAUUUAUAUUGUCCUAUCUAUACAACAAAAGAACACAGAACAGUCUAUAUUUUUUCUAAAGUUUUACUUGGUAGGUGUCGUCUUUCUUAACGUCCAGUGACGACGUAGAGGUAGCGGUCAGUUAGUCGAGCAGGUCAGAUCAUCUUCUAUAGAAGUUCCAGAAAAAUCCAUAUAGAUCUUCCAAAAGGUUGAGCAUUCAAAAGUCGAAGAGCCGAUUUACAUUCUAUAGUUGGUAAUGAGUCUUGUCGUUCCACGAACGCUGUUUACGUUCAUAGUUUAUUCCUCAUUUCGUAUGUAGUGUAAACUUGAAAUUCAUAUAUGUAUUUAUUUCGUAGUGUUUCACGUCGGUCCAACCGUUUAUUUUAAAGUAAUGAAAGUUAGAUUACCUUGGAUAUAGGUGGACUGUUGAAUUUAGAAAUUUACCGUCGCUGUCAUGUUGUAUCCGCCGUCUUGACUAGCAUCUUCAGUUUUGUUAACAUUAACAACUAAGUACUGGCCUGCCUAUCAAUGUUGUUGACAAUACUUGGAUCGAUCAGUACGGUAGACGUCCCCUAAUCCUUCUGUUCCCCUUCCUCCUCUAUUAUAACGCUCUCUUAUAUAACUAAGAACGAACGAGGGUUUCUUAUUUUACGGACGAGCAUAUAUCUCGAUUGAAUUGAAACUGGGCUUUCUGUACCUCUAUCAGCCUUCAUAGUUCGAGCCCGUUCUACGCAAUAUACCAAUAACUCGACUUUACACAUAUACUUAAUGUUAAUCUCCGGGAGGACAACGUUAUUGAAGACGUAAUUAAAUACGAACCUUUUACAUACAGGCAUGACGUCAUAAUACUCGAGUUGCGUACUCUGAUGACAUGACAUUUAGUACAGUACUCACAUUAGUACUUUGACAAGCUCCGUUUCCCGACUGGAAGAAGCUACCUCUGUCUCUUUGACUUUGGUUAGACCACUCGUCCUUCAAGAGUCCGCAUUCAAGGGUCACAUACCUGGGUACUUCACGUCUGCACCUGCUGCGAAAGUCUUUGAGUUAAUCUGUUAGACGUGACCUCUUGCUGUGGGUCGGAGGCUAUCGCUCCCCCUUGAGCGCGAAGAACACGGUGCCGCUGCCGCUGCCGCGUCCCCCCGACGUCGUCGACCAGGUCGGACCGUGCCACCGGCCGCGCCUACUGGAGCACCGACAACCGCUGUGUUUCGGUGUGGACCGAGAGACGGCAGUAGACGACCU
rnacentral:rRNA from 1 species